rnacentral:lncRNA from 1 species
GGUGGUGCUUGUUGUGGUUUAGAAAAUACUCCAUUGAAAUUAUUUGUUCCUUCAUACUUCAAUAGUCAAUGGGAUUUGAAGAGCUUCGGAUUUUCUUCAAUCAUUCUAUGAGGCUUUUAUAAUUUUAAAAUUAAAUUUUUUAAACACAUACUUCCUAUUGUCAACUUUUCAACAAGCUAAGGCUCACUUGAUUUGGAGUUAAAACAAAUUUUUGGUGAAUUGUUGAGUGCAAGAGAGAUAGUUGCCUUGGUAGUUUGAAUUACUCGAUUUUGAAAAGACAUUUCUCAGUGCUUUAUAAUUGGAUUAUUCUAAAAUUUUGAAAAAAA